GCUAGGGGGCUGUGAAUUUCUGGAGAAAAAAAGCCAGGUACUUCAAGGAUGGAUUGUACUACCACGGUGGUAUGGGUCGACUCAUUCGAGCAGUGAGGGCGCUUGCAAGGCUUACACGAAAGGAGCGCUUCAUCGAGUCUCUUGUUAAUGCGCCCAC